UACGUAGGGUGCAAGCGUUGUCCGGAAUUGAUUGGGCGUAAAGAGCUCGUAGGCGGUCUGUCACGUCGGACGUGAAAAUCCAGGGCUCAACCCUGGACCUGCGUUGAUACGGGCAGACUAGGAGUUCGGUAGGGGAGACUGGAAUUCCUGGUGUAGCGGUGAAAUGCGCAGAUAUCAGGAGGAACACCGAUGGCGAAGGCAGAUCUCUGGGCCGUAACUGACGCUGAGGAGCGAAAGCAUGGGGAGCGAACAGG
rnacentral:rRNA from 1 species